GUACACACCGCCCGUCACACCAUGGGAGUGGGUUUUGCCAGAAGUAGGUAGCCUAACCGUAAGGAGGGCGCUUACCACGGCAGGAUUCAUGACUGGGGUGAAGUCGUAACAAGGUAGCCGUAGGUGAACCUGCAGAAGGAUCA
rnacentral:rRNA from 1 species